UAACGCGUGAGGAACCUGCCUCAAAGAGGGGACAACAGUUGGAACGACUGCUAAUACCGCAUAAGCCCACAGCUCGGCAUCGAGCAGAGGGAAAAGGAGUGAUCCGCUUUGAGAUGGCCUCGCGUCCGAUUAGCUAGUUGGUGAGGUAAUGGCCCACCAAGGCGACGAUCGGUAGCCGGACUGAGAGGUUGAACGGCCACAUUGGGACUGAGACACGGCCCAG
rnacentral:rRNA from 1 species